rnacentral:rRNA from 1 species
GAUGAACGCUGGCGGCGUGCCUAAUACAUGCCAGUCGAGCGAACAGACGAGGAGCUUGCUCCUCUGACGUUAGCGGCGGACGGGUGAGUAACACGUGGAUAACCUACCUAUAAGACUGGGAUAACUUCGGGAAACCGGAGCUAAUACCGGAUAACAUGUUGAACCGCAUGGUUCAACAGUGAAAGACGGUCUUGCUGUCACUUAUAGAUGGAUCCGCGCCGCAUUAGCUAGUUGGUAAGGUAACGGCUUACCAAGGCAACGAUGCGUAGCCGACCUGAGAGGGUGAGCGACCACACUGAAUCUGAGACACGGAACAGUCUCCUACGUGAGGGAGCAGGAGGGAAUCUGCCGCAAUGGGCGAAAUCCUGACGGAGCAAUGCCGCGUAGGUGAAGAAGGUCGUCGGGUCGUAAUACUAUGUUAUUAGGGAAGAACAAAUGUGUAAGUAACUAUGCACGUCUUGACGGUACCUAAUCAGAAAGCCACGGCUAACUACGUG